GACGUAGGGCGCAAGCGUUGUCCGGAUUUAUUGGGCGUAAAGAGCUCGUAGGCGGUUUGUCGCGUCUGCUGUGAAAACUGGGGGCUCAACCCCCAGCCUGCAGUGGGUACGGGCAGACUAGAGUGCGGUAGGGGAGAUUGGAAUUCCUGGUGUAGCGGUGGAAUGCGCAGAUAUCAGGAGGAACACCGAUGGCGAAGGCAGAUCUCUGGGCCGUAACUGACGCUGAGGAGCGAAAGCAUGGGGAGCGAACAGG
rnacentral:rRNA from 1 species